GGGAGUGUAGCUUAGUGGUAGAGCAUUUACUUAGCAAGCAAAGGGCCCUUGGGUUCAAUCCCUAGCAUCA
rfam:Ictidomys tridecemlineatus contig062255, whole genome shotgun sequence.